ensembl:lncRNA
UGGAAAAGAAGGAAGGAGAAACAACUCUUUAUUUAAAUAAAUAGGAAAGAGACGCAUUACUCGUUGUCUCUGUUUAGGCGAGACAACAGAAACCAUAACAUCAAAAUUCCCAUGAAUCAUGUGAGGUUGGUUUUCUUAAAUGCAAACGUUUUUCUACAGGCUACAAAUGAUACAGACACAACAUCCUCUCCAACAUAUAAAAAUACUAUGACAAAAACGAAUGCAUUAUAAGAUUAUUAUAAUAUAUAUUACAAUCUGUUAGGUUGUUACUGUAUGUAGAUGUGCUACAGUUAUAACAAUAACGAUAACAAUAAAAGCUACAUUAGUUCAAUUCUGGACCUUUAUGAACAUUUUGAAUCAAAGGCUAAAAUUCAAACCAUGUUAAAACUAAUAUAAGUUUUAGUUUCACAUCUAUAUAAAUAACAUGACAUCAUAUAUAAAAGCUACAUUGUCUGUGUGGCAUUCCUAUGGUACGUUCACUGGUUCGGACCAAAUUGGAGAGGGAGUGUUUGAUUCCAAAAAGCAGGCUGCAUCGCUGGAUAAUGACGUUCAAUACAACAGGACGACUUCUUCUUGUUGGAAGCAUCUUCCAAUGACAAGCACACACACAUACAGGUUUUUGUACUUCUACACAUGUAAGGAUCCUCCUUCACACAAUAACACCUUCUGUAAGGCCUUAACCUUAACUCUCCACACGCCAAACAUUUCCAGUCAACAUGAUAUCAGGACAGAUUCCACAUGUCACGUAUUUAACUUUUCGGGUGUCAUUUUGCUUCACUAAAUGACACGAGGAAGCGCCAGGGUUAAGGUCAGGGUGUGGUUGUCAAUCAUGGUGUGAACUGAUGUGCGAAAAGCAAAAAAUGCAUAGUGAUAACACAUUAAAUUAUCAUGGUAUUUCAUGACACCAAGCUGUUCCAGCUGGCUGGAUAUCAUUUUAAAUUUUUAAAUACUUUUGCCAGUAUAGGAGUAUUCCACCUAAACAAAGACAAUUUCCGAAAACAAAUGUAAUUGCUAAUGUUUCAGUCCAUGUAUUAAAAACUAUACACAACCAACCAAGUAUUCCUUUCCUUUUUUGUUCAGUACAACAUGUUGCUAAAGAAUUUGGUUUUAAUUGUCCAAUUUGUUACAGUGAAGAUCAAAUCUAAAAAUUACGUUAUUGCUGCAAGGAAAAGUAGAGGAAAUUUCAGCAAAAAUUGGAAAUAUUUUGUUGAGGAAUUGAUAUGUUUCUUUGUUGGGCUAUUAUGACAUUAGAAAGCAACACUUUGGGCUGUGGUGAAUUCUGAAAGCCUUACUAAGCUGAGAAAUUUAGGCAAAUGAUAAUUCAUCAUUAUUAUUAUUAAAAAUAAUUAUUAUAGUAGUAGGUGCAAUGCAUCUUAGACUGCUCUAACUGCUUUAGCAGAAAAAUAAUCAACAAUUACUUUCAAGUUUCACUGUCAUGGAUUAUGUGACGGAAACAAAUUAUCAAAAAUUUCAAAGAAUUUUCAUGUAUUUUGUAAAUUAAUAGCCUGGGAAUAGGAAGUUUGCUCAAAUUAAGCAUAAAUUUAAGAGCAAAGUAUUCUUUAAUGCAGAGUUUCACAACUCUGAGAUUUAAUCCCCAGCUCUAACCUCAACCCUGCCUAACCCUAAAUAAAGUCUUAACCUUCAAUCAGCCCUUUAAAUUCGCAAAGUGCAAUGUCCUCACUUUAAAGAGAUUUUAAGAGGUCCUCACAAAUGAGAAGAACAAGAACACACACACACACACACACACACACACACACACACACACACACACACACACACACACACACACAUACUGCUGGUCUAAACUGUGAAAAUGUGAGUCUGGUAAGCAGCAAAGUGAAUACAUCACACACUAACUAAUGCCUCUGUCACCUUUAACCUCUAGUGUGUGUUCAUGUCAAGAAAUGGAGCAAGAUGACCUUCGACAUCAUUGUGGAUUUAAGAUUGAAGACGACAGUUUCUUACCGGACUGCUUUCAAAAAGUAGGUGGGUACUUCGGAUUAUUUUAUUUACCAAUUUAAACAACAAUGAGUUUGCUGCCAUCUUUGCCAUCUGCAUUACCAACGGGACACAUGUAUCAACAGAAAUGUUUGUUACUUUUUGGUGUGUUUGCACGUGUGAACACACACACACACACACACACACACAUAUAUAUAUAUAUAUAUAUAUAUAUAUAUUAGGGGUGCAACGAUAUUCGUAUCGAUAUUGAACCGUUCGAUACAGUGCUUUCGGUUCGGUACGCAUAUGUAUCGAACAAUACAAAAUUUGUAAUUUAUUUUAUCAACUUUCGUUCUGACGAUGCUGUCUGUGUUGAGCGCUCAGUGAAUCUGCGUUCGACUACUCCGCCUAGGGUCGACAGUGCAGCCUAGGCGGA